GUUUUUGUGUUUUUCUUAUUGAUUUGUAGAAGUUCAUUGUAUAUUCUGGGUACUAGCCCUUUACCAAGUAUCUAUAUUGCAAAUAUCUUCUCUUAUACCUUGUGCUGAAUACACACUGUUAGCUAAUGCAUAAGCAUAAGACUUGGUUGCAGUCUGGCUUGCAAGAGGUCGCUUUGGGUUGUGCCCCAGAGGAUGAAAGUUUACUUGUGUAUUUGCUCCACUAUUACUAAAGGUUGUAGGUACCAUAUUCCCCAGCCCUGUCCUGGUCUCAAGUGCCCUGUCAUUGAAGUUAAAACCAGGAAAGUUCAAGAAACAAUGAAAAAGGCAAGAUCCUUGACGUCUGCUAAUGUACUUCAUAGUCUCAGGAAUAUUAUAGAAUUUAGGAUACAAAGUUACAUUUAAGAGAUAUCAGAAAAUUAGUGUUUGUAAGAGAUGAGUGACAUGUGUAAUUGAAUUAAAUGCCAGGUUUUAGGAGACAAGUAGUUCUCAAUCCAAGGAAGAAGAGGUUUUAGAAAACUGUCCUGUGUUUGGUGGUAGGCACAUGGUAUGUUUGCAAUCCUGGAAUGACAACAUCAAAAUUGCUAUUCCGAGCCCACUGAUGAAGGUCAUGUGAUGCCUUGGCCCAGGCCUUCUAUUUGUACCCAGCAAUAGCUUGCAUGAAAGCCUUCUGAUUGGGCUCGGGGGAUAAAGUUGCUAUGUGAAUUUCAAAGCCCAGACAAUGAGAAAAAGGAGCAAACACUUGCUGAAGGCAUCAGAGAAGUGACUGCAAUCAAGCAGUGUUGGUUUUGUGACCUUGAAGCUUCCCAGAAUAGCUACCACAUUGGGAAUAAUGGAAGCCCUGGAUUCAGAUGCCUAGGAUGACCUCAUCACCAACAGCCCCCUUCUUCCUCCUGACAUGUCUCCAGGCUCUAUGCCAAUGUUUAGACGUUAGCAGGAAUCCAGAAAAUCAGGCUUUUGUUUUCAAAAAUACAAAAUAAAGGCAGCCAUUAUGGAAUAUUGCAUAACUGAUUUAAUCCUAAUGUGAUGUCAAAACAAAUUUCCCCAGUAGUUGAGAGAAUGCUUUAUCUACCACAGAUACAAUUGUUUUGUUGAUGCCGGGUGCUCUUCCAACAAAUGGUUGGGUACUUCUCUUCAUGAAUUCUCGCAAUUCUCCAUCCCGGGCACAUUUCUGUGGGUAAUUAAAAUGCUCUUUUUAUAACGGCAGUAUAAAACAGUAUGCAUCAUCUAAACACACUGAGCU